rnacentral:lncRNA from 1 species
AUUAAGCACCACAAAUCAUAGAUUUUUAUACACAAAUCAUAAAGACAUACACAUUUAAUCAGUAUACAACAGUCAUAGAUCCAUCACAUAAACACAAAAGCACCACAAUUAUAUAUUCACAAAAGCAUCACAAUUAUAAUAUCAUUCACAACUAGAUCACUAAUGUUUCAUAUCACUCUAACUAUCACUCUAACUAUUGUUCAAAAGCCCACAACUAUAUCACUCUAGCUGCUCCAGAGCUGAUCAGUCACAAAAGCACCAAAGCUACACUAAUGCUUAGUUCAAAAGCCUUCAGACAACCACUCCAGCUUCUUGUAUCCUCCUGUUUUAAGGUACAAACUUUCUUUGUCCAGAACACCCUAGAAAAAGGUACAUCAAAUUAGUAUAUUGUUGCUGUAUUUGCAAAUAAAAAUACAGUUUUGAUGCCUUAUCUACCUCCACUAGAUGGUGUUGCAGCCUUAUGCACAAACUUCAGCUGGUGCAAUCAAGGUUAAUCAUCAUUAAGUUGCUGGCUCAUAUAAAUCUAAACAUAAACAAGAUAAGAUAUAAACAGAAAUAUACAUAUGAACUAAUAACUCACUAGAAGGAACUUGAAUGACUUCUUCAUGACAACAAACUAGCGUACUUCCAAGGCACCCUGAGCGCUGAACACUUGACCACAAAACAAGAGUCUCAUAUUAAUUAUAGUAUGAACUAUGAGCAAAGUAAAUUUCUAACAGCUAUAGAAAAAAUGAAAGAUAAAUUGGGCCAAUAUCCAUCUAAUAAGCCAAUCAAUAUCCACCUGGUUCCACCUCUCUGAAUUCCAAUAAAUAGGAAAAAUAUAUGUGAUAGCAAAAUAAAUCUGGAGCACAAUAUCACUUUGUUACAAGUACAGGCCAAAAGUCCAUUUAACAAUAUAAAAUAAUUGGGCAGUAAGCACUAAAGUUCGCAUUUUCAACCACGACAGCACAAAAGGCCAAAAAUGUGUAUUAACAAAAUUACCACAGCUCCUAUCCUGAAAGAAAUUAGAGUAUUAAAAUGCACUACUAUUUAUAUCAAUAUCCAUCCACAACAUAUUUCAUAUUUCAAGUACAUAGAAAAUAGAAUUCCAUCAAGAUAAGUACAACCACAAAAAGAUGGGCCAAGGCACAGAAAUAUAAUCAGAAUCAAUGGUAACAUCAGAAAUAGAAGGGCAAUAACCUAUCUUAUUUCAAAGGAUACAUAAUAGUCACUACGCAGACAAAAAGGGUGGGUACACAAGAAAUCCUGCACAUGACCUACUACUCCAUAGAUUUAUCUCCCACUUAAUUUGCUUCCUUUCUAUAUCCAUGGUUGUUGGACUCGAGGUUGAUCAUGAGCUUCAACUCAUAUGAUCAGAUUUAGUGGGACCUACUGCUAUGAUUAAUUUGCUUCUUGGUCCACCUAAAUCUAGAAUUUAAUGAAGCUAUACAAAAGAGAAGGGCUAUGGGAUAUAGAUAGUGGAUUUUCACAUGAACAUAUAGAAGCAUAAAGAAACCCUAUCCAUACGACAGCAAUGCUUGUAUGUAGACUUGCAGGCCACAUGUGUCCAUCGUGUGCCAUAGAAUAAUGGACGUGCGCUGCUGCAGAUUAGGAGAACCAACCAACCUAUCUUGUACUCUGUAAGAGUCCAAAACUGAACAGAGGCAACUGUCGAAAGGGAUUCUCACAAAGAAAAGGCAUGGGUUGCUGUGAGUAAAACUACAUUAUCCCAAGGACACUGUUCCAUGUAGGAGUAGGAUUCGUCGCUAGUGUUUGUUCCGCAUUGGGCUUGGGUAAUACCCAUCGGACAUCACUUCCUUCCAGCUUCAAAGGCGAGCAGAACAUGAGCAACAUUAAUUUGUGCUUAUUUAUAAACAAGAAGACGAUGUGCUUAUUACAAGAAGACGAUGAGCAACAUUAAUUUGAGCAACCUACCUUUGCUCGACGGGAGGCCGCUACCGUUGCUCGACGGGAGGCCGCCGCCAUGGUUGCUCCGCGGGGCUUGGCCGGCCUGGGCGCCGAGCUGAGGGAAGGGACGAGAGAGCUGAGGGCAGAGAGAUA